rnacentral:rRNA from 1 species
GUACACAGCCAUAUCACCCUGCAGCCCAAGACUGGUCACCCACUGAAGCUAAGCAGGGUUGAGCCUGGUCAGUACAUGGAUGGGAGACCUCCUGGGAAAACUAGGUUGCUGUUAGAA